rnacentral:sRNA from 1 species
CUGCGCCCCAGAUGGAACGGCAUGUUUGAGCUCUUUUUAUUUUUCUGAUGGGAAAAGCGUGGUGAAAAUAAAAAAGCGAGUAGUGACAGCUGGAAUUUGG